CAUAGGUUGACACUCAACCACUGAGCCACCCUAGCUGGGCUCAGUUUUUUCUUUUAUGGAUUAUGCUUUUGGUAUCAAGUCUAAGUCUCUUUGCCCAGCCCCAGGACCUGAAGACUUUUUCCUAUGUUUUUCUUUCCCCUAAAAUUUUUAUAGUGUUACAUUUUUUACAUCUAAUCCUUAAUCCAUUUUGAGUUAAUUUUUUGUAUAAUUUGUGAAGUUUAGGUCGAGGUUCAUUUGCCUAUGAAUGUCAAUAAUUUCUAAGGGAUCCUGGGACCAAAGAUUUGAAAACUUCUGCAAUGAGGUAUAUGAGGUACUCCAAGACGGGUGUGUGCGUAGCACCAUGGGAAGGUUAACUCUGAGCAAGAAGUUCUAGAAAACUUCCCAGAGAAGAUGCCAUCUGAGUUCCGCUCUGGAAGAUGAGUAGGAUCUUACCAAGCAGGAGAGAAAUCUCCUUUUCUUUUCUCCAUCUUCCACAGCCAGUGAUAUUCCCAGUAAUGGGGUUAAUUCUAAAAGAGGGAAGUAUGGAAGAUAAAGAGGACCUAGGGGUGAGGCAGGCCUUGGUUGAAAUUCUUCUUAUAUAGCUUAGUUACUUACCUUUUCUAAGCCUCUGUUUUCUAUCUGUAAAAUGAGAGAAAUAAUUUUUUCUUUUCAAGGAAACUGAGGAUUAAAUGAGAUAACUAUGUAAAUUGGCAAGCGUGGUACCUGACACAUGGUAGGCACUCAAUGAAUUACCUUCUCUCCCCCUUUCACGAUUUCCUCGAUCUUUUCUCCAUGUAUGAAUUUAAACCCAUCCUUUGGUGUUCAACUUUUAUUUAAUUUCAUUCUUUCCCCCCACAUUGCUCUAGGUGAGUGACUCUCAAACUUUAUGUAUCAACCAUCCACAAAGCAGAUAAUAUUUAGUUGUGGAGGGCUUCUUAAAACACAGAUUGCAGAAUUUUGGUUUAGUACGUCUAAGAUAAAACCCAAGAAUUUGUAUUUCUAACAAAUUUCCAGGUGAUGCUGAUGCUACUGAUCUGCAGACCACACUUUGAGAACCAUUGCUCUAGAUAUUUUCAAUAACUGUCUCAAUAGAUUGUAUAGAAGUCAAAAUAUUCACUUUCCACAUGUAAUAGAUUUUCAAGGAAAUGGCUUGUUGUGUUUGUUUUUCAAAAUUCACAGAAAACUCCAAUGGGGUGACUUCUGGUUUUAAGAUGGCUGAAUUUUGUUUUGUUUUUAAUUGCAGUAAAAAACACAUGCCGUGAAAUUUACCAGCUUAACCACUUUUCAGUGUACUGUUCGGUAGUGGUAAGUAUACUCCAGGAUGGCUGAGUGUUAUUUCCAUCCUAUUCUCAGAAAAUCCACUCCAGACAGUAAGGAGACCAUGCAGCAUCCUCUCUCCAUCUUUGAUGAAACCAGGAGAGCUCUCUAACCCUGAAACAAUAAAUGAAGAUGGGAACUGGGUUGGGGAAUGACAAAUGAUUUGGCAGAGUGGAGGAGGGCCCACGGUCCUGCCUAAGGAGGGGCAUAUAUUGAGGAACAGCCAAUUCACCCCAGGAUCCCAGAAGGCUCAGGAAUGGGCAGAACAGAUAUUUCAGCAGGUGGAGGUAAAACAAGGUGCUAAAAUGGGGGGAUUGACUGAGGUCUUUGUCAUGGGGAACUUCAACCCCAUGUAGUCAGGCACUUUUCAGAGGACACCAAAGGGUUAGUCUCUGGAGAAUCUGAACCAGAGAGAGUCCAGAUUUAGUGAUCACAUCCCAGCAUAGAGGAAAAGUUUGGGGGGCUGAACUAGACACGGGUGGCCUAAAAAGCUGCACCCCAAAUGAUGACACCCCAGCCCAUUCCUAAUUGAACUCCAGAAUAUUUACAUGUAGUCUCAUUAAGCAACAUUGUCCCCACCCCCAGUGGACUGGAGCCUCCUUUUAUGAAGAAACCCACCAGCCCCAGAGAAAAGACCUGCAACCAUGACAUUUGGGGCUUCUCAGGAAGUCAGUUGCCCUACAGUGAAACACAUCAGUCAACCCCAGUCCAUGCUGGCAAGGCUUACAGUCAACUCGUACGUGCCUCACUUUGAAACAAAGAUUAUUAGUCGCUCGAGGAACCUUGGAACUCUGAGAGAGAUGAAUGGGAAGAUUCCAUGUGCUAAUCUCAUUUCCAAAUGUAAUUGGCACCUGAAUUACGAAGCGCUCUGCUUCCAAAGGCUGCAUUAACAGAGCCAUCCAUCCUCUCCUCCAUCUAGCCAAAAACGCCUGAACCGACAAACUUUCCUUGUAGUGUGAUGGAUUAAGCAGAAGGCUUGAAUCUAUGCUACUCCCUGUGUGGCCAUGGAUUUGCUAUACAUGCACACUGAAUAUGUGGGUCUGUGGAAGACUGCAUUUCCAAAAAUGACCACAGCAGAAUUUCUGGCCUUCUGUGGCCUUCCUGACAUUGCCACGUCCCAUCACAAGGGAGAAGGCACUUGGAGAAGUUGAGUCACCUUCCAAAUGGAUCGUGCAGCUCAGACUCCAGAGGCCAACUCCCUCAUCCCCCAGCUUUUCAUUUUGAAAAAUUUCAAGCCAACUGGAGACUUGCAAGAGUAGUACAACGAACACCCAUGUGUCCUGGUCUUCUUGGCUAGACCAGGACAUUAAAGGACACCCCGGGCUCAUGACUCAAGCUGGACUAAUGAGGGUCAUUGCCAGGAUGAUGACAGACCUCUCAGGAAAGAAGCAACUCUCUUUCGACAGGCAUAAGGACUGAGGACCAUGCAUGCCAAGAGCCAUAGUGUCCCUUUUGCCAUCAUGUGCUCGCCAGAGAUCAAACCAAACGGGAAAGUAGAACCAACAGAACAUUGUGGUAGUUUGAAAACAUGUCCACAAAUUCUUUGACCCCUCUGCCAGCAAAAGAUGGGGUCUAUGUCCUCUCCUAUUCAGUCUGGAGUGACCUUAGUGACCUGGGAAUAGCUGAAAGAGCGUUGGAGGGGAACUGACUUGCUCAAAGUUGUAUAGCAGGUCACUCUGAGGGAAUUAUUAAGGAGAUACGACAACUAAAUGCAGUGUGAGACCCUGGAUAGGAUUCUGGACUGGAAAAAGGACAGCAGUGGGGAAACGGACAAUAUUUUAAUGCGGCCUGUAGUUUUGUUAAUAGUGUUCUGUCGAUGCCGAUUUUUUUGUUUGGUGAUUGUACCAUGGCCACAUAAAAUGUUAACAUUAACAGUAAAAUGUGAGUAGCA